AUUGAACGCUGGCGGCAGGCCUAACACAUGCAAGUCGAGCGAGCGUCGGACGGGUGCGGAAUUUAUGGGGAUCUGCCCGAUAGAGGGGGAUAACUACUGGAAACGGUAGCUAAUACCGCAUACUAUCGGAUGAACCCAUAUGGGAUUAGCUAGUAGUUGGGGUAAUGGCUCACCUAGGCGACGCUCCCUAGCUGGUCUGAGAGGAUGAUCAGCGACAAUGGGACUGAGACACGGCCCAGACUCCACCGGUAGGCAGCAGUGGGGAAGAUUGCACAAUGGGCGCAAGCCUGAUGCAGCCAUGCCGCGUGUAUGAAGAAGGCCCUAGGGUUGUAAAGUACUUGCAGCGGGGAGGCGUUACCCGCAGAAGAAGCACAGGCUAACUCCGUGCCAGCAGCCGCGGUAAUUC
rnacentral:rRNA from 1 species